UAAUGUAUUUAUGGCAUCCAGGCUGGGCCUAAUCAACAUGGUACUUAUUUUUUACUUUUCUCCCAUUUAAUGUGUAGCAAGAGUCAUGGCAACAAUUUUUGCUAUUGAUCAAAAAUAACAUUAAAUAAAUAAAUAAGGCCUGAAUUGGCAAUUUUUUUCUCUAUGCAGGAAUGAAUUAGGAACUGGGUUAGUGUCUGUAGACAGAGGGCAGGAAGGGACAAUCGACUUUGAAUGGGAAGUCUAUGAAAUAUUAACUUUGUGGUCUCCCUCCAACCCUUCCUGACUGGUCCCCCACCCUCUGCAGCACAGCUGGGCCUUGAUGAGACAAAGACACUGAAGCCCUGGGGGGCAGCAGGGCUCCCUCAGGCCUCAGCAAAGGCCAGUGAAGGCCCCAGGAUGGUCCAGGGAGCUUUUCCCACUCAAUCCCCUCUGGCAGAACUGGACUCAGCACUUGAGCCCUUCCCCUGGCUGGGCCCCUGCUCACACAGCCGCGGGUGCUGCUGCCUUGCUUGGCUGCUGGCCCGUGUGCUCCCUCUCCCAAGCGCUGCCUUUUCACCUGGAGCUCAGGUGAAGGGAACUCAGGAAGCUCUGCGGGUCAGGAAAAGCAACUUGGGGAGCUUCAGAGCUCAGGAACACCAAUUUAAUGAACUUCAGGACUCAGAAAUUCAGUCUCCAGACACUUGGGGCUCAAAAUCAGCAAUUGAGGAUACUUUGGGGCUCAGUAAUGCCAUUUCAGGGCACUUAUGGCCUCAAAAAUUGGUAUUUGGGGACGUUCACAGCUGAGAAUACAGGAGUCUCAGGAGCAUUGGGGCUCACCCACCUGGUGAUGUUUUUGGGACCUGAAACACCAUUUGGGUUCAGAAAUACCGAUUUAGGGAGCAUUGGGGCUCUUAAACACCAAUUUAGGGACACACAGGCCUAUGAAACCCUGAUUUGGGGAGUUCAAGGCUGAGAAAAAAUCAUGUUGGGAGCUUUGGGAAUCAGGGAGAGUGAUUUGGGGAUAUUUUCAAAGCAAAAAGAACAAUUUUGAGAGCUUUGGGCUCCAAAAAAACAAUUUAAGCCGAUUUUGGGCUCUGUAGUCCCUAUUUAGGGAGCUUUGGAGCUCCAAAACAGCGAUUUAGGGAACUUUUGGGCUGAGAAACAUCAAUUUCGGGAGCAGAAGGAGCAAGCCCUGAGGAAACCCGGGAGCAAGGGGCAGGUGCUUACCUGGGACAGGUCUGGGAAGGAGCCGCUCCGUGCUGGGGUGCAAGCACUGCUUAAAAAAGGAAUAUAUACAGGGAUAUAUAGAGCUCACUAGCUCACUGUGCUCACCCCGUUCCCGGCCCCACGGGCUCCUCCCUCUCUCCCCGAGGCUCCUUUCCCGGUUUUACACCGAUUUCCCCUAAAUGAGGUUUCCCCGCUCCGGUCAGGGAGCGGUUCCUUGGCUGGGGGUGGGAAAUGGGCGCAGCUCCCCGCCCAUCGCUCCCGGAGCCUCCCUGGCUGGGAUGAACCCCGCGGGCUGAUGGCGCACCGGGCACAGGGCGUGAGCGAGGGGCGCCAGGGCUCUGGAACACUGAUCUGGGAACUUCAUGGCUUAGAAACCCCUGUGUCAGCAGCUUCGGGGCCAGAACAGUGAGCUCAGGAGCUUUGGGGCCGAGAAUGAGCAAUUCUGGGGGCUUUGGGGCUCCAGAACACUGAUUUUGGGAGGCUUUUGGCUCGGGGGAAAAAAAAAUAUUUAGGGAGCUCCGAGUCUCAGCGAAAGCAAUUUAGGGCUAUUUUUAGCUCAGAAGCAGCAAUUUAGAGAGAUUUCGGGCCGAGAAACAUCAAUUUAAGGAUAUUUUGGUGUCUGAAAUACCAGUUUAGGGAGCUAAGAAACACUCAUUUAGGGAGGAUUUGGGCUCAGGAAUAUCAAAUAAGGAGGUUUUGACCUCCCAAAUAAAAAACCUUUUUGGGGAGGAUUUUGCUCCUGA
ensembl:lncRNA